rnacentral:rRNA from 1 species
GACGAACGCUGGCGGCGUGCUUAACACAUGCAAGUCGAACGAAGUGGCGAACGGGUGAGUAACGCGUAAUCAACCUGCCCUUCAGAGGGGGACAACAGUUGGCAACGACUGCUAAUACCGCAUACGGAAGGAGGGGUUGGCGUGUGAUUAGCUAGUUGUAGGGGUAACGGCCCACCAAGGCGAUGCUCAGUCGCCGGUCUUAGAGGAUGAACGGCCAGAUUGGGACGGAGAUGCGGCCCAGACUCCUACGGGAGGCAGCAGGGGGGAAGCUUGCGGAAUGGAGGAAAGUCUGACGGAGCAAGGCGGCGGGAUGUAUGGCGGCCUUCGGGUUGUAAAGCUCUGUUAAUCGGGACGCGGUACCUGAAGAGAAAGCGACGGCUAACGACGUGCCAGCAGCCGCGGUAAUUC